AAAAAAAAAUCUGUGGCCACACCUUAAAACCAUCAAAUGGGUACAUAGUGGGUCCUUAGUAAAUACUUCCUGAAGGAAUGAUCAACUUUUUUAUUCAACUUGGUAGAAAAUGCCUCAGCUGGUUUUCUCUUUUUAGCUUCACAAGUCUGAGUUGUUUUCCCACCUCUUCAAUUAACCUUUAUUUCAAAUUUCGUCUCUUCGUUUCUUUAGCUUAUUUAUGCUCCAGAGAAUGAAUUAUGUAUAACCAGUACCUGAAAAUUUUUCUGAGUGUGCCUGAGGAGCUUAAAAUAGUGAGAGAUCUAAGUCUCAUCUGCUGUAUGAACUGGAAUCCCCCAAAUCUUCACAGGAGGGGUCUGCCCAGCAAGCCGGAGGAGGGCUUUGCUAACUUAAAGGGCCAAUAGA
rnacentral:lncRNA from 1 species